rnacentral:rRNA from 1 species
AUUGCCUCAGUAACGGCGAGUGAAGCGGCAACAGCUCAAAUUUGAAAUCUGGCCUUCGGGUCCGAGUUGUAAUUUGUAGAGGAUGUUUUUGGCGCAGUGCUUCCGAGUUCCCUGGAACGGGACGCCUUAGAGGGUGAGAGCCCCGUACGGUUAGACACUAAGCCUCUGUAAAGCUCCUUCAACGAGUCGAGUAGUUUGGGAAUGCUGCUCUAAAUGGGAGGUAAAUUUCUUCUAAAGCUAAAUAUUGGCCAGAGACCGAUAGCGCACAAGUAGAGUGAUCGAAAGAUGAAAAGCACUUUGAAAAGAGGGUUAAAUAGCACGUGAAAUUGUUGAAAGGGAAGCGUUUGCGACCAGACUUUUUCCUGGCGGAUCAUCCGGUGUUAUCACCGGUGCACUUUGCUAGGUGAAGGCCAGCAUCGGUUUCCGUAGGGGGAUAAAAGCUUAGGGAAUGUAGCUCCUUCGGGAGUGUUAUAGCCCUCUGCAUAAUACCUUUAUGGGGACCGAGGACCGCGCUUCUGCAAGGAUGCUGGCGUAAUGGUUGUCAACGACCCGUCUUGAAACACGGACCAAGGAGUCGAACAUUUGUGCGAGUGUUUGGGUGUUAAACCCUCACGCGUAAUGAAAGUGAACGGAGGUGAGAGCCCUUCGGGGUGCAUCAUCGACCGAUCCUGAUGUCUUCGGAUGGAUUUGAGUAAGAGCAUAACUGUUCGGACCCGAAAGAUGGUGAACUAUGCGUGGAUAGGGUGAAGCCAGAGGAAACUCUGGUGGAGGCUCGCAGCGGUUCUGACGUGCAAAUCGAUCGUCAAAUCUGCGCAUGGGGGCGAAAGACUUAUCGAACCAUCUA